rnacentral:rRNA from 1 species
UGGGGAAUUUUGGACAAUGGGCGCAAGCCUGAUCCAGCCAUGCCGCGUGCAGGAUGAAGGCCUUCGGGUUGUAAACUGCUUUUGUACGGAACGAAAAGACUCCUUCUAAUAAAGGGGGUCCAUGACGGUACCGUAAGAAUAAGCACCGGCUAACUAAGUGCCAGCAGCCGCGGUAAUACGUAGGGUGCGAGCGUUAAUCGGAAUUACUGGGCGUAAAGCGUGCGCAGGCGGUGAUGUAAGACAGAUGUGAAAUCCCCGGGCUCAACCUGGGAACUGCAUUUGUGACUGCAUCGCUGGAGUGCGGCAGAGGGGGAUGGAAUUCCGCGUGUAGCAGUGAAAUGCGUAGAUAUGCGGAGGAACACCGAUGGCGAAGGCAAUCCCCUGGGCCUGCACUGACGCUCAUGCACGAAAGCGUGGGGAGCAAACAGG